GGGAAUUUUCCGCAAUGGGCGCAAGCCUGACGGAGCAAGACCGCGUGCGGGAGGACGGCCUAUUGGUUGUAAACCGCUUUUGAUAGGGAAGAAGCUCUGACGGUACCUAUCGAAUCAGCAUCGGCUAACUCCGUGCCAGCAGCCGCGGUAAUACGGAGGAUGCAAGCGUUAUCCGGAAUUAUUGGGCGUAAAGCGUCCGUAGGUGGUUGUUCAAGUCUGCUGUUAAAGCGUGCGGCUUAACCGCAUACCAGCAGUGGAAACUGGGCGACUAGAGUGCGGUAGGGGUCAGGGGAAUUCCCAGUGUAGCGGUGAAAUGCGUAGAUAUUGGGAAGAACACCGGUGGCGAAAGCGCCUGACUGGACCUGCACUGACACUGAGGGACGAAAGCUAGGGGAGCGAAAGGGAUUAGAUACCCC
rnacentral:rRNA from 1 species